rnacentral:rRNA from 1 species
GACGAACGCUGGCGGCGUGCUUAACACAUGCAAGUCGAACGGAAAGGCCCUGCUUUUGUGGGGUUCUCGAGUGGCGAACGGGUGAGUAACACGUGAGUAACCUGCCCUUGACUUUGGGAUAACUUCAGGAAACUGGGGCUAAUACCGGAUAGGAGCUCCUGCUGCAUGGUGGGGGUUGGAAAGUUUCGGCGGUUGGGGAUGGACUCGCGGCUUAUCAGCUUGUUGGUGGGGUAGUGGCUUACCAAGGCUUUGACGGGUAGCCGGCCUGAGAGGGUGACCGGCCAAAUUGGGACUGAGAUACGGCCCAGACUGGUACGGGAGGCAGCAGUGGGGAAUAUAGCACAAUGGGCGGAAGCCUGAUGCAGCAACGCAGCGUGCGGGAUGACGGCCUUCGGGUUGUAAACAGCUUUCGCCUGUGACGAAGAGUGAGUGACGGUAAUGGGUAAAGAAGCACCGGCUAACUACGUG